rnacentral:rRNA from 1 species
UCGAUGAGUAGGGCGGGACACGUGGUAUCCUGUCUGAAUAUGGGGGGACCAUCCUCCAAGGCUAAAUACUCCUGACUGACCGAUAGUGAACCAGUACCGUGAGGGAAAGGCGAAAAGAACCCCGGCGAGGGGAGUGAAAAAGAACCUGAAACCGUGUACGUACAAGCAGUGGGAGCCCCACCACUAAGCCAGUGGUGAACUCCACAUACGCAUCCUUUGCUGAGGAUACGGUUAACGGAGCGAAAGCGACGUUCAACCUCAAAAGAAGCAGAGGGGGCUUAGUGGUGGGGUGACUGCGUACCUUUUGUAUAAUGGGUCAGCGACUUAUAUUCUGUAGCAAGGUUAACCGAAUAGGGGAGCCGGAGGGAAACCGAGUCUUAACCGGGCGUUAAGUUGCAGGGUAUAGACCCGAAACCCGGUGAUCUAGCCAUGGGCAGGUUGAAGGUUGGGUAACACUAACUGGAG